rnacentral:ncRNA from 2 species
AAUCAAGAGUUUCGACCAUGCGGCCCUGGCCGGUCGAACGGCAACCCUCGCAACCAUAGUGGGGUGCCCCAGGUGACGAUUCGACGCCUCGGCACCAGCCGAUGGCGUAAGUAUGGCGC